rnacentral:rRNA from 1 species
CCUACGGGUGGCAGCAGUGGCGAAUAUUGGACAAUGGGGGCAACCCUGAUCCAGCCAUGCCGCGUGUGUGAAGAAGGCCCUCGGGUUGUAAAGCACUUUCAGUGAGGAAGAACGCCUGGUGGUUAAUACCCAUCAGGAAAGACAUCACUCACAGAAGAAGCACCGGCUAACUCCGUGCCAGCAGCCGCGGUAAUACGGAGGGUGCGAGCGUUAAUCGGAAUUACUGGGCGUAAAGCGCGCGUAGGUGGCUUGAUAAGCCGGUUGUGAAAGCCCCGGGCUCAACCUGGGAACGGCAUCCGGAACUGUCAAGCUAGAGUGCAGGAGAGGAAGGUAGAAUUCCCGGUGUAGCGGUGAAAUGCGUAGAGAUCGGGAGGAAUACCAGUGGCGAAGGCGGCCUUCUGGACUGACACUGACACUGAGGUGCGAAAGCGUCGGUAGCAAACAGGAUUAGAUACCCCGGUAGUC